AAACAGCUGUGAUUUGAAACAGAUUUUGUCUCAGUUAAACCGGUAUUUUAAAGAGCAUCUUGUUGUUGUGAAGCAUCUUAAUACGGUUGCAUGCUUUUCUUAAUGCUUGCCUUUGUACAAAGUAGAGACAAACAUCAGUGGUCGAAUGCUCCUUAUUAAAUUACCUGUUGCAGGAGACCAAUACCAUUAAAGUGGGGUCUCUAUUUUACACAGCUGUUUAACAGCAUGAGAUGGAUGAACUCAUUUGUUAAAUUGGGAUCUGUAAACAAAAGCAAAUGGGAGGAAGAGCAACAGAGACAAUGAGUAAUGGAAACACAGUUUCCAGACUGCAGAAGCCAGAGCUUUACUAGAAAAUAUCUGCAGCCCCGAGGAAAGGCUUUCCGGGGUCCCUGUGACUGUUACCUAGCAACAAGCCCAUCGUGCAGGGCACAGUGGAGUCCAGUUUAACAGGGCUCAGGAAGAACACCUGGACAAGUUAUAAGGAGAAGAGGUUUAUUUGACUCACAGCUUUGCAGACUGUACAAGGAGUAUGGGGCCAGCAUCUGCUUCUGGUGAGGGACUUCAGAAGCUUCCAUGCAUAGCAGAAGGGGAAGCAGAUCAGGCAUCACAAGGCAAGAGAAGAAGCAAGAAAGAAAGGGGAGGAAGUACCAAGCUUUUUUAAAACAAUCGAUUCUUAUAGGAACUAUUAGAGUGAGAACUCACUCACUUCUGGGAGGGUGGCACCAAGAUGUUCGUGCAGGACUGCCCCGAUGAUCAAAACCCCUCCACCAGGCCCCACCUCCACCACGGGGAGCACAUUUCAACAUGAGACCUGGUAGGGACAGACAAACUGUCCAAACCGUAGCACUCAUCACCCAUUCAUCCAUCCAUUGAUUCAUUUUUUCACACAUUUAUUGGGCACGCUUACAGUGUACCAAAUACUGGGUCAAAGUUGCUGGGAAUACUCUGGACCCCUCUGUGGUGACUAGGCAACCCCAAGCUUCUGGAAAAACUGGCAAAACCCAGGCUAUCUGAAAUAACAAGAAGAAAUUGUUGAUUUUUAACCUGUAAAUUCUCUUAGAAUUUGGUUUCCCCGAAAUGAGUUAUUUGCUUUGUGAUGCCUGUUACUUACUGUAUCGAUUAGAUUUGAGAAAAUGAAGGAUAGAUAAUGUGAAAUGCUGAGAUGUGACUUGUAACUUUGGCUUUGCUGAGGGGCAGCUUGUAACUUUGGGUCUGCUGAACUGUUCCGGUAACAACAGGAACUCUGUGAAUGGGACUAACCACAUAGCUUGACUGCCGGAGAGAGAUGACAGCAGGUAAUAGGCUUCUCGUUGCAGAGAGCCUAUAAACAGACCUGUAAUGGAGAGGCUUAUUACCCAGAUUCCUUUCCCAGCGAAGGCAUAUUGAUUAGAGCCCUGGCAAGGGAAUGCGACCCUUAUGGAGAGCCUACGAACGGACACAUGAGGGGUGUCUGUCUCUGUGGUUGAGAUAAGGAUGUGAAAGCCUUUCUUCACCCACUGCUCCCCCAGGCCUGCAUGGAGACCCGCUCCUCUCGCAGAUUUUGUGAUCAGGCUGGUUGUCCUGUGUCAGAUCCUGUUCCCCCUGUAGUUGUGAGCCCAAUAUGUUCUUGCUGAUAAUCAUAAGUUUAUGUUUAACCUAUAUUCUUGCUAAGGUGUAUGGUUUCUAUGCUGACACACAGAAAGUUAUCCUUACAUUGUUCUGCUUUUAAAAUACGAAAUUGUGAUUCUGGUGCACCAGUUUUUGCAAAUGUAUUCUUUUUGUAUAAUUAUCACUGAAACUUUGCUCCCCCUCCCCGAUUGAAAGAGCACAAUGAAAAACUGAGGUUUUCAGGGGAAUGUCAGACAUCCACGGAGCAGCAUUAUGUGGUGUCUCCCCUGGGCCCAGCUUUAAGGAAAACUUUUUCCUUGUCUCUCUUUCUUUUUCACCGACCACUCGAUCACUUUGAGAGAUCUUGAAUCUACGUUAAUAUACUGGGAGCUGGUCUCACCAAUAAAGAAUCCUACAGGAAAUCUUAGGAAUACUGUAUAGGAACACUUUUGCUCAAAACUCCUCUCAGGCAAGGCUCUCACCUCCUUGGAGCACUCAGCUACUAAUUUAUCUAAACCAUUAGUACUCCCCAUUAACACAACUCAGGGCCACUCUUCACAAGCAUCACUAACCAAAGAGCCACAUGCCUCUGAGUGUUGUUUAAUAUGUU